AAAACUGUCAGUAAGUUUAGGUAUAUCCUGUAAGAAUUGGAUAUCCAAAUCAACAUCCUCUACAUAGAAAAUGAUUAAAUACCUGGUUCGAAAAAGGAAGAUCCUAAGCAAGAACAGGAACAAAACAAAAUGAAACUAAGGAAAGCAGUGAUGAUUUCAAAGUAAAUUCUCCAAUAAUCGUAAAUAUAAUAAGAGUCUAAUUAGCUCCCGAGAGAAUCUAGCACGGGGUGGUGUUUUCUAUUGGUCACGACGAAGCCGCCGAUGAUCACAAAAUUCCAACAACGUCGAAACAGAAAUGCCAGUACCGAGUUACUAAGUUUCUCAGCGAUCAAGCAAACACGAAAGAGAACAAUAAUUCCAACACAGGAUGAAUGAUAAUUAGGGAUAAGAACUUGUGCUCAUUUCCAAACAUCAAAGAAGAAAAGGAAACAGAGAGGGGGGAAAUGGACCUGAGAAUUGCGGGUAUUGUAAGUGUUAAGAGCCCAAGAGCAAGCGGAGACAAUCCAAAUACAGAGCAAAGCCAAGUAGACAGCCGGGAG
rnacentral:lncRNA from 1 species